UUAUAGUGGGAUUUUAUUUCC
rnacentral:piRNA from 1 species